UGGAACUUAAGCAUAUCAAUAAGCGGAGGAAAAGAAACCAACAGGGAUUGCCUCAGUAGCGGCGAGUGAAGCGGCAACAGCUCAAAUUUGAAAUCUGGCUCUUUCAGGGUCCGAGUUGUAAUUUGUAGAAGAUGCUUUGGGUGUAGCUCCGGUCUAAGUUCCUUGGAACAGGACGUCAUAGAGGGUGAGAAUCCCGUACGUGACUGGGUGCUUUCGCUCGUGUAAAGCUCUUUCGACGAGUCGAGUUGUUUGGGAAUGCAGCUCAAAAUGGGUGGUAAAUUUCAUCUAAAGCUAAAUAUUGGCCAGAGACCGAUAGCGCACAAGUAGAGUGAUCGAAAGAUGAAAAGCACUUUGGAAAGAGAGUUAAACAGUACGUGAAAUUGUUGAAAGGGAAGCGCUUGCAACCAGACUUGCACACUGUUGAUCAUCCGAGCUUCUGCCCGGUGCACUCAGCAGCGUUCAGGCCAGCAUCGGUUUUGGUGGGCGGAUAAAGGCCUUGGGAAUGUAGCUUCUUUCGGGGAGUGUUAUAGCCCUCGGUGCAAUGCGCCCUACCGGGACCGAGGACCGCGCUUCGGCUAGGAUGCUGGCGUAAUGGUUGUAAGCGACCCGUCUUGAAACACGGACCAAGGAGUCUAACAUCUAUGCGAGUGUUUGGGUGUCAAACCCAUACGCGUAAUGAAAGUGAACGGAGGUGAGAACCCUUAAGGGUGCAUCAUCGACCGAUCCUGAUGUCUUCGGAUGGAUUUGAGUAAGAGCAUAGCUGUUGGGACCCGAAAGAUGGUGAACUAUGCCUGAAUAGGGUGAAGCCAGAGGAAACUCUGGUGGAGGCUCGCAGCGGUUCUGACGUGCAAAUCGAUCGUCAAAUUUGGGUAUAGGGGCGAAAGACUAAUCGAACCAUCUAGUAGCUGGUUCCUGCCGAAUUUU
rnacentral:rRNA from 1 species